UGGAGGCAAUAGUGGACAUCAAUCAUGCCCCUUCAAUCAUCCAUUGUAUAUGUAUAGCUGUGUGUGUGUGUGUGCUGUGUAGUUGAUGAAGAACACAUAGAGCACGAAGAACACAGUGAGAAGAAGAGAAAGAGAGAAACACAGAGAGAGCUAGGGAGAGUUGAGUUGAGUAGAGAAGAAUUUUCUCCUCCUCCUUGUUUUGUUGUUUGUAUUGUUUGUAAGCUUCAUUAAUACAAACCAGUAGCUCCGUGGAGUAGUCAAGUUGCCGAACCACGUAAAUUUGUGCGUGUUUGAGUUCUGGAAAUAACCCAACAUUGGGGUCAAUGUCGGUGCCCUACCCAACUCCUUCCUGGUUAACACUGGAGAUCACCUUGAGGUGCAUUCUGACUUCCUGGCCAUGUUAUCCCUUAUUACAAUUAGGCUCGUGGUCGAUCCAAGAUUCCCAAGGCUUAAUAAUGCUGUUAAAAAUGUGAAAUUCGUGUUUUUUUGUUACUAGAUUUUGAGCAAUGGAAGGUACAAGAGUGUUCUGCACCGAGCAAUGGUCAACAACAAGGCUACAAGGAUAUCCAUAGCUAUGGUACACGGACCAUCACUAGACUCAGUCGUUAGCCCAGCACCAGAGUUAUUAGUGAGCAGUAAAGGCAAUGAACCUGCAGCAUACGCUGGUAUGAAAUACAAAGACUACCUGGAACUUCAGCAGAGCAACAAGCUGGAUGGGAAAUCUUGUUAGGUGUGUUGCCAUUGAAUGUGCCUAACCUUGACUUUGACCAUCCACCUUUGUUGAAGAAGAUGGCAGCCAUCAUUGACUCCCAUGUGCAGCUGCUGGAAAGAAGAAGAGAAGCCACCAUCAUGCCUAUAAAUAGGCACCAUACAAAGAGAGCUUUGGUGAGAGUUGUGAAUAACGUGAGGGUGAAGAGAAAGAGAAGAGAAAGGGCUGCUGCCCAUGGCAGCAGCCUUGCAGCUGCAAGGCAGCGAGAGUGAGAUGGGAGUUGAGUGAUUAUAUCCUCCUCCAUGUAUUUAUUGUAUUCUUUCUCUACCUCAAAUAAUACAAUGAACCUCUCCCGUGGAUGUAGGCGGUUUUGCCGAACCACGUAAAAUAUUGUUGUCAGUGUGCUUACUCCUCCUAUGAGCAAUUAUCAGUACAUCACCGGUCGCCGGAUUCCGCCCAACAAAUCUUGCUUGGAUCGAGUUCGAAUUCCAGCAGUUUAGCUACUGCUUCUGUGUGUGUACCAAACCAUGAAAGUAAUAAUGAUACUUCUAUGAUUUCAUGAAUGCAAAAAUGAAUGGAUAAAGAAUGUGAUUGUAAUCAAAAUAAAGACUUCCUGUAAAAUAUAAGAAGUGGGGCAUCAUUUUUGCAGUGCACUCUUAUAGCUAUGUUUCUUCCCGCAGUUGGUUUGCGUUGUUCCAUGCAUGCUAUUACACUGGCUGCCCUGCUGCAAAUGACAGGGACUUUAGCUGUUUUCCACCGUGAGAAAUUUCAUGUCAGUAAAAGGACUUUCUCUUGUUUUAUCUCCUUAGGGCAUCAUUUAUCAUUUCUUACUGAUACGUACCACUUCACCACUUUACAUGCAGGGAUUGCACACUAGCAAACCAUGACAUGCAGGGAUGAGAAGACCACGGUGUGUAAUGACAAGAUGGAAAAGACCACGAAUGUUUAGUGGCAAAGUGAAAAACUUGGUCUAAUUUCUUUAUUUUAGUUAUUUGUUUGUCGAGUCAGUUUGUUUCAGUUCUAUUUUCAACAUUUUUAUUUUGUUGCCAUGUUUGUUAUUUUUCCUACCUAUACUACUAUAUCUAUAUAGAGCCUAAAAGAGUUCAGCGAAUUAUAUGCAGUUAUUUCUUAAACAACCUUCUCUUCUCCCUUUCUUCUUCUUGAUUCUUAAAUUAUACUUUUCAGUGGUAUCAGAGCCUGGUUACAACCAUGGACACUCGCGGUAAAACAAAUGCAGAAUUCCGCAAUAAUGUCAAUGAAAUCUUGGCACGACAUGAGAUCAGUUUCGAUCAGGUGAACGCAGCAUUACAAACAGUGUUAACCGAGCUCUAAGCUCUUCGAGCUUCUCGUAGCCAAAACAAUAACUCUUCUGAAACGAACCCCUUUGCUCGUGAUGAAUCCUCACACCCACAUACUUCUCGUUUUAACACUACAAAAGACUACUCUCAUCACAACUUCAAGUUGUCCUUUCUAAAAUUUAAUGGUUAUGAUCCAACGGGAUGGAUUUACAAGGCAGAGCAAUAUUUUGAAUUUCAAAAUAUUGCGUUGGACCAACAAGUUCAGCUGGCCUCAUUCCAUUUAGAAGGCAUCGCCUUACAGUGGCACCGGUGGUUGGCAAAAUUUCAUGGACCACUAACAUGGGAUGAGUUCACUAAUGCUAUACAACUCUGGUUUGGUCCAACCGACUACGGAGAUCCAUCAGAAGCUUUGACACGCCUUAAACAAUCCACCACCAUUGUAGCUUAUCAAGAAGCUUUUGAAAGGCUUUCUCACCGAGUGGACAACCUGCCUAAAUUUUUUUUAAUAGGUUGUUUUAUUGCAGGACUCAGAGAUGACAUUCAUAUAGAUGUGAAAAUUAAACAGCCUGUAACCUUGGCAGAUACAAUAGGGGUGGCUCGACUAAUUGAGGAACACAACCAGCUGCAAAAGAGACCAAUUCAACCACUCCGCUUCCAACUACCUUAUGCAGUAGCAAAAACCUCCUCCAAUUCAGUGGCUAGGGUGCUAGGACCUCUACCAAAUCAGCACCAUAGCCAAAGUUCCAAUAACCCACUAGCAACCUUCCAUAUAAUCACCAAUCAAGAGGCACGAGAACGACGAGAGAAAGGGUUAUGCUAUUACUGUGAUGAGAAGUUCGUUCCAAGACAUCGUUGUGCCCGACCACAAUUGUUUAUGAUCGAAGAUUCACCUCAUAUGGAUACCGAAGACGUUGAGAUCAACCAACCUGAUUUGGAACUUUCAGAGGUUCUACCUGAAAUUUCUUUUCAUGCAAUUACAGGAACCGAACAUCCACAGACCAUACAUGUCCUUGGCAAGUUAAAGAACAAGAAUGUAACAAUGCUAAUAGAUGGAGGUAGCACUCAUAAUUUUAUUGAUCAGGCUUUGGUCUCUAGAUUUGGAUUACCAGUAACUCAGGGUAAGCAAUUACAAGUCAUGGUGGCUAAUAGAAAAAAUAUUGAAUGUGCUGGACAAUGUCAGGCGCUCACCCUCAUUAUUUAAGGGCUUCUUGUCACCACCGAUUACUACAUUGUUCUUGUCGCAGCAUGCCAGUUGGUAUUAGGAGUGCAAUGGAUUGCAACUCUCGGACCAGUCAGGACUGAUUACAAGCAGCUCACUAUGAAUUUCAACAUUGCAGGAAUUUCUCACACAUUUCAGGGAUCAAGGAGAACUAGCAUUGAAGCCUUAACAAAUAAGGAGUUCAAUGGAUUACAAGGCUUGGGAUUAUUUUUCCAAAUAAUUCAUUCCAAUAGUAACAACGAACCACAGUCCUAUCCUACUAAGAUCAGUAAAAUUUUAGCUCAAUUUUCUCAGGUGUUUGAAACCCCGAUCGAUUUACCUCCACAACGGUCACAUGACCAUCAAAUUCCAUUGCUUCCUAUAGCGGGGCCAGUCACUGUGAGGCCAUAUCGAUAUCCUUAUUAUCAGAAGACUGAAAUAGAGAAAAUAGUCAAGGAGCUUCUGCAAUUUGGUUUAAUCAAACCAAGUCACAGCCCAUUCUCCUUCCCGGUUCUAUUAGUGAAGAAGGCUGAUGGUGCAUGAUGAUUUUGUGUGGAUUAUCGAGCUCUCAAUGACAUCACGGUGAAAGAUAAGUAUCCAAUUCCAAUAAUUAAUGAACUAUUAGAUGAGUUGCAUGGCGCCAAAUUUUAUUCUAAAUUGGAUUUACAUGCUGGAUAUCAUUAAAUCCGCGUGCAUGAUGCUGACAUUCAUAAAACAUCUUUCAGAACUCAUGAAGAGCAUUAUGAAUUUAUUGUGAUGCCAUUUGGUCUCACCAAUGCGCUAGUAACAUUUCAAAGUCUCAUGAAUGAUCUCUUUCGUCCCUACCUCCGAUACUUUAUCUUGGUUUUGUUUGAUGACAUUCUAGUAUAUUCAAGAUCAUGGGAGGACCAUCUCACUCAUUUGCAAACUGUUCUAUAGAUCUUAUCAGCUAACAGUUUAUUUACCAAAUUGUCCAAGUGUCAAUUCGGAGUUUUACGGGUCAGUUACUUGGGCCACAUCAUUUCCGAGCAAGGAGUAUCGGUUGAUCCCACCAAAAUCCAAGCUGUCAUCGAAUGGCCACCAUCAACAACAGCAAAAAGGGUCCAUGGAUUUCUUGGUUUAUCAGGUUACUACCAAAAAUUUAUUCGUCAUUUUACGUGUAUAACAGCACCUCUACACCGUCUCUUAAGCAAAGAUGGAUUUCAGUAGAAUGAUGCAGCAGAGAAGGCCUUCCAACAAUUGAAAGAAGCACUGACAUCCCCGCCAAUCUUACACCUUUCUGAUUUUACUCAACAAUUCAUCAUUGAGUGUGAUGCUAGUGGAAUAGGACUUAGUGCAAUUUUGCUUUAAUAGAACCAACCGAUUGCCUAUUUUAGUGAAGCAUUGAAAGGGUCAACCUUAGUAUUAUCCAUAUACGAAAAAGAAAUGUUGGCAAUCGUCAAGGCAAUCAAGAAAUGACGUCCAUACUUGUUGGGGAAACCUUUUACAUUUCGCACUGAUCAUAAAAGUCUUAAAUACCUCCUAGAGCAACGAAUUACUACACCUGUACAAUCAUGCUGGCUGCCAAAACUGCUUGGUUAUGAUUACAAAAUUGAGUAUUAACGUGGGCCUAAAAAUCAAGGUACUAAUUCAUUAUCACGUGUAGUUGAAUUCCAGUUUAUAUCUAUUUCUCAACCACAUGCAGAUUGGUAGCCACCGCUUCAGAAGGAAGUCCAACAGAACUCCUUUUAUGCUAACUUACUACACAAAUAACCCUCUCAAGCCGACCAUCAGCUGCUCCUUCGUGAUUGUGUUUGGUUCAAGCGAGACAAAAUCUAUUUGAGCUCCAGCUCCCCUUUGAUUCCAAAGAUUUUGGUUGAUUGUCAUUCAUCACCUGUAGGUGGGCACUUUGGGUUUCAUAAAACUCUAUCUUGCAUCAGACAAAGUGUUUUUUUUGGUCUAAUAUGCGACAAUAUGUGAAGGAAUUCUUGUAACAAUGUGAUGUCUGUCAAUGGUUUAAAAUAUAUUAUAUACAGCCGGCAGGAUUGCUUCAACCUCUACCCAUCCCUACUUAAAUAUGGACCGAUGUAUCCAUAGACUUUAUUGAAGGAUUACCAUCUUCUAAUGGUUAUACUGUUAUCAUGGUCGUUGUUGACAGAUUGACCAAAUAUGCUCACUUUGUGCCUUGAAACAACCAUUUUCUGCUGUCAGUGUUGCCACGAAAUUUUUUACCAGUGUGGUUCGCGUGCAUGGAAUUCCAACUUCCAUAGUUAGUGACCGAGACAAGGUGUUUAUUAGUGCCUUUUGGCGCACAUUAUUCAAUCUGUAGGGAACCAAGUUAUGUAUGAGUUCAAGUUACCAUCCCCAAUCUGACGGCCAAACCGAAGUUGUCAAUCGAACUUUGGAACAUUGUUUACGUUGUUUUGCAGGAGACCAGCCACACAAAUGGGUUCAAUGGAUUCCCUAGGCUGAGUUUACUUACAAUACUUCCAUUCAUUCCUCCAUUAAGAUGACACCCUUUGAAGUUGUUUAUAGAGUUCCCACUCCCAACUUACUGGCUUAUAUACCCGACACUUCUCGCGUCCAAGCAGUUGAUGAAUACCUGCAUGACAAGGAUACCAUCCUACUUGAGUUGCGCCAUAACCUUCAGUUGGCUCAAAAUCUGAUGAAAUGUCAAGCGGACCAACACUGGCGUGAGGUAUCAUUCACUGUGGGAGAUUAUGUGUAUUUAAAACUUUAGCCCUAUCGGCAAACUUCUGUGGCUUUUCGAGCUUCUCUUAAACUCACCCUAUGAUUUUUUGGUCCAUACAAAGUAUUAGAGAAGGUCAAUUCGGUGGCUUAUAAAUUGGCCUUGCCUCCUGGUUCUCAAAUCCAUGAUGUAUUUCAUGUCAGUUUGUUAAGGAAGCAUCUGGGUCCAGUUACUCCUUCCUCUCCUGAACUUCCCCCUAUCUCGGUUACUUCAGUUGUUCUUCCCCAACUUGAAGUUGUCUUAGAUCUGCGUGUGAUACGCAAAGGUAACUAUCGUUCAAAAUCUGAAAUUUUGGUGAAAUAUGUUGGUGCACCAGUAGAAGACGCUACUUAGGAAAAUGAGUGGUGUUUCUCCAAGUCUUAUCCAGACUUCCUCCUUGUGGACAAGGUUCCUUAAGGGGUAGGGAAUGAUAUAUACCACUUCAACACUUCACAUGCAAUGUAGUGGCACAUUAGCAAACCACGACAUGCAGGGAUUGCACACUAGCAGACCAUGACAUGCAGGGAUGAGAAGACCACGAUGUGUAAUUGUGUAAUGGCAAGAUGGAAGAGACCACGGCGUGUAGUGGCAAAGUGGAAGACUUAGUCUAAUUUCUUUAUUUUAGUCAUUUAUUUAUUGAGUCAGUUUGUUUCUGUUCGGUUUUCAGCGUUCCUAUUCUGUAGCCAUAUUUGUUAUUUUUCUUACAUGUACUGCUAUAUCUAUAUAUAGCCUAAAAGAGUUCAGCAAAGGAUAUGUAGUUAUUUCGUAAACAACCUUCUCUUCUCCCUAUCUUCUUCAUGAUUCUUAAAUUAUACUUAUCACUUACCUCCAGGGAGCUCUCCAGAAGAACAAAAGGACUUUCUCUUGUUUUAUCUCUCUAGGGCAUCAUUUCUUACCUCUAGAGAGCUCUCCAGAAGAACAAAAGGAGGAAACAAGCUUCAGGUCGAAUAUGUUCUUUUAGUGUAGUUAUAUCGAGGAAGAAUCUAAUCAUUGUAAGAAUAAAAAGAACCAAACUUUUCUCUGAAUCAAGAUCCAUUGUACAUGAAGUUCAUACACUAAAUCAUGUCCUGCAAUUCAUAAUUGAUUGAACUCUAAAAAUUAUCACAGUAUGUUUUGUUUUUGGUUCUAUCUCUUAUUGUUACUAUCCCAAUUCAUGAUAAACUAGUUUUGCAUUAUCAAUGCAUGAUGCAUGUACAUUUUCAUGCUGUCAAGGUUGUGCAUGUAAAACAAACCUCUGGUAACAAAGUAAUUCCAUCAUACUAAGGUUGGUAUGAACUCUGAUAACAAAGCAACUCUUUGAGAAGCUUGAUAACUUGGCUGACAUAAAUUACACAUACAAUAGAAGUAACAUCUAUGUUAUUUACGUUAUUGUUACGGGAUAGAAAAAAACAAAACAAAAUAAAAUAUAAAAAAUAUAUUAUAUGUCAUUAAUAAAAUUAUAAUAAUCAUAGUUAUAAAAUCUAAACUAACCUGACAGGUUGAUUUGGAACCUGGACAGUCCAAGUUUAAAAAAGUAGAAGAAGGAUUGACUCGAUCUGAUCUGGUAAAAACCUGAUCACCUGAGACAAAACAUGGUAAAAAACAUGUUUACUUUUUAAAAUUGUUUUUUUUUUUGAAAAUAAGGUUGCUUUUAUUAUUUUAUUUUUUUUAAAGAAGAUUUUGGGUCAAUCUGGGUUGUCCUCUUGGCCCCGAACUUUGUCUUGGUUUAGCUCCCAGAUUGAGUUUUAAAAUUAUGAUAACAACCACUUUUAUCUAUACAUUGACACGAGUCAACCUGGGAUGACCCUUCCGACUCGUGACCUAAAAUUUGCACCGAGUUAAUUUUCAAGUUGGGUUUUAAAACUACGAUAAUAACCAUUUUUAUUCUUAUAUUGACCUGGUCAACACGAGUUGACUCUCCAAAUCCGUGACCUAGCCUUUUCUCUGGGUCAACCCCUAUUCGGGUUUUAAAAUUAUGAUAAUAAUCAUUUUUAUUCUUAUGUUGAUCCAAGUCAAUCCAAGUUGACACUCCCAACCCGUGAUUUAGGUCUUGCUCCUGAUCAACUCCAAGUUAAGUUUUAAAAUUAUGAUAAUAAUCAUUUUGAUCUAUACAUAUCUUAGUUUGAUAAUUUUAGAAUUGAGAGUUUUUACAAUGAUAUUUUAUGAAUAAAAAACAAAAAACAUUGUCUUAGAAGAUAUGCCCUUUUUAUGAUACCUCUUGUUUUGUAAGUAUAGAAACUCACUCCAAAAUUAUCAAGGAACACAUUUAUUUUUAUAUUUUUAUCUUUUCAACUAAACAUAUUUUUGUUUCUUUUAUCACAAGAUAAUAAUUAAAUGUUAACUAAAAAUUUCAAUGUGUUUUUCAACACAAAAAUAUAAAGUGUAAAUUGAAAAGCCAAUGCAAAUAUCUAAAUAAAUAAAUUGAUAAUCAUUUGUAUAAUAUGAGGAGAGGAAAUAACUUAGAGUGGGAGAGGCUGUAAGCAAAUUUUGAAUGAAUAACAUGUAGUUUACAGAAAAGCAAUUUAAACUAACAGGGAACUACAUGUAGUUCACUUCAGUUGAUAUAAACGGCAUGUCGCUUACGACUUCGCUACCUGGUUUCCUAUUUUAUCCUUGAUAAUUACUCUCAAUUCCCAACACUACCACCUUCUAAAAUCCCCGCCUUUCUUCUGCUGUAAAAAAUCACAGCUCCUUCUGAAAAACUAAUAAAGCACUAGCCUUUCGCCACGCAAAACGCUCUUCCUCACCUCAGUUUCUCCAAAAUCACAACGUUAUACACAAGUAAGAACGAGAAUCACUGUAUCUCUUCUGGGUUUUCUAUUUAAGACAGAUUUUGCUUGUUGAAUUUCAACAUGUUUGUGUCAAGUUCGAGUCUUUGCAGAUUUCUACAACAUGCUUAGGUUUUAUUAGAAUUCUAUGCUUUCAGUUUUGAUGUUUCUCUCAUGUGGGCUAUUCAUUUUCUGGCUAAUUCUUCUAUGAACAAGCAAAGAUAUUUAGUGUUGGUAAGGCAUGGCUGGAGUAUCAUCUUGGUUAAAUGAAUUUUUCCCACAGAAAAUGAUGGGAUUACUGAAAUAUCUGUUGUGUUUUGGUAUUGAGUUCUUGCACUGUUGAUGCAUGAAAAAUCACUAUAGUUUAGUUGGCAUUCACUUCAUGAUGAUACCUGUUAUUGAUUCAAGUCCAAUACUAGCACUUUGUUAGAAUCUAUCUAUCAGUUCAUAAGGAAUUGCUUCAAGCAGUUUUCAGGAUGUUGCUAUAAUAUGUUUCUUGAAUCCUUUGAACUGCCAAUUGAAUUGGUGACUCUUAGUACAUAUGCUGGGAAAUGUCAGGUUGGUAUAACACCUAUUACAUGUCCUCUAGAAGUGUCAAAUCUCUCGAAGUAUUGUGAUUUUUCCUGUAUUUUUGGAUUGAAAACGGUAUGCAGUUGAAUAGCUUCUGUGGAUGUAAGUUUUUAUUGCUGGGGCCUGGGAAUUCAAAGAUACGUUGAUGAUGGAUAUUGCAAUAUAUGCAACCUGUGAAAAAAGUUGGGACCAAAGGUAGUAAUUUUUGUAUGGAAAAUCAAAAAUAAUUUUUUUUAAUUUUUAAUAUCAAUAUAUUAAAAUAAUUGAAACAUAUUAAAAAACUAGUUCUUUUCUACACUUGAUGAAAGAACAGAAAAAUUUAAUAUUUUCUUAAAAAUAAACAAGUUUUUAAAAAACACUUAAAGAAAUCUAUUUGUGAAUUCAAAGUUAUUUUUAGAGACACCAGAUAACCUAGUUCUUAUCCACACUUGAUGAAAGAACAGAGAAAUUUCCCUCCUCUACAUGAUUCGAGCUUCUUCUUAUUAUUAUUAAUAAAAGGUUUUCCAUGUUCUUAUAAAUAAAAAUAAAUUUUAAAAAAUAAAUAAAAUAUUAUUUUAAUAUAUUUAUAAAUAAAAAAUAUUUUAAAAAAUAAUUAUUCCUCCUUAAUUUGUUGACGUGAAGCCACCGGACAAGCAAGUCCUUGUCCAUAUACAAAAAUGAUACUUGUCAUAGUGCCUUAAUUACACGAGGGUGCUUAUCCACAUCCAAAUCAUUCAGCUCUCUCUCACUUCCUCUCCCUCUCUCAAUGGCAGCUGAAACAGCUUCCCUUCUUCCCUCACAAGCAUUUCCUAGUCAACCUACCAAGAUAACAAGCAUCAAAACGUUAUCUGAAUCUCCUGGUCUCACCUCCAUCCCCGCCACUUACACCUUCACUCCUGAUCAUCUUGAUCAGGUAACUUGUGUCCCAGAAGGCUCCAUUCCUGUCAUAGAUUAUUCUCUUCUUAUUUCAGGCACUCCCGAUCAACGGUCUAAAACAGUUCAUGAACUUGGCAGAGCCUGUCAGGACUGGGGCUUCUUCACGGUAUAUCUCAUCUCUUUUCAUGUAGCAAGUAAAGCUCUUCAUGUUAUAGAAAUUUGAUCUUUGAUGGCUUGACGUGAUGUCGAAUGACUCUCUCAGCAACUUCGAGGGCUGAACUAGUUGACUAGUGCAUGUCAUGCUCUGUAUUUUGUAAAAAAAUACAAGUAAAAGAAAAACAUAGCAAGAUAACUAGGUUUUUUUUCUUUGAUUUAUAACGUAAAACAAACUUUCAUCCUUCAUAUUUCUUAAUUAUUAGGUGGUCAAUCAUGGGGUGCCGGAGAACCUUCUCAGCUCGAUACUUGAUGGGUGUAAAAGUUUUUUUGAUCUGCCAGAAGAGGAGAAGCAAGAGUUUAAAGGGAACCAUGUAUUGGACCCAAUAAGGUCUGGCACCAGCUUUAAUGUUUCCGUGGAAAAGGCUUUCUAUUGGAGGGAUUUUCUCAAGGUCUUUGUACAUCCGGUGUUCUACUCACCUACCAAACCUGCUGGCCUCAGGUAAAUAAAACGAUCAUCACCCCCUUCAUUAGUAGCUUUUAGUUCUAAUGCGUGUUCCUUUCAAGUGAAUUCAAAGGUGAAAAGAGAUUCUUUUUCUUUUGAGAUAAGACAGAAUCUUGUGAGAAAAUUCAUGAUUAAAGUAGAGGAAUCAUAAGCUUAUAGAAUUUGAAGUUUUUGGUUGGAUCUUUUUUUAUUGUAGUGAGAUUUCAUUAGAGUACUCCCAAAGAGUUAGAGAAGUAGCAAGGGGGUUACUGAAAGGAAUAUCAGAAAGUUUGGGAUUGGAAGGAAGCUACAUAGACAAGGCACUGAAUUUGGAACAGGGGAAACAAAUAUUUAUUGCAAACUUGUAUCCAACUUGUCCACAGCCAGAGCUUGCAAUGGGCAUGCCCCCUCAUUCAGAUCAUGGCUUGUUGACACUUCUAAUCCAAAAUGGAAUUGGUGGCCUUCAAAUUCAGCACAAAGGGAAGUGGGUCAAUGUCGGUGCCCUCCCCAACUCCUUCCUGGUUAACACUGGAGAUCACCUUGAGGUGCAUUCUGACUUCCUGGCCAUGUUAUCCCUUAUUACAAUUAGGCUUGUAGUCGAUCCAAGAUUCCUAAGGCUUAAUAAUGCUGUUAAAAAUGUGAAGUUCUUGUUUUUUUGUUAUAGAUUUUGAGCAAUGGAAGGUACAAGAGUGUUAUGCACCGAGCAAUGGUGAACAGCAAGGCUACAAGGAUAUCCAUAGCUAUGGCACAUGGACCAUCACUAGACUCAGUCGUUAGCCCAGCACCAGAGUUAUUAGUGAGCAGUAAAGGCAAUGAACCAGCAGCAUACGCUGGUAUGAAAUACAAAGACUACCUGGAACUUCAGCAAAGCAACAAGCUGGAUGGGAAAUCUUGCUUGGAUCGAGUUCGAAUUCCAGCAGUUUAGCUACUGCUUCUGUGUGUGUUCCAAACCAUGAAAGUAAUGAUGAUACUUCUAUGAUUUCAUGAACGCGAAGAUGAAUGGAUAAAGAAUGUGAUUGUAAUCAAAAUAAAGAUUUCCUGUAAAAUAUAGACAGUGGAGCUCAGGAAAGCAAGAUAUUAUGUGCUUCUUAUCUGCAGUGUCCUCUUAUAGCUAUGUUUCUUCCCG
rnacentral:lncRNA from 1 species